rnacentral:lncRNA from 1 species
UUAGAGAAGACAGAGCAAGACUCUCCUUAAAGGCGCACAGUGAAAGAACAAGAGUAAAUAGACACAGGUUGCAGCAAGAUGUAGUCUAGAUAGAUAUAAGGACAAAAAUAUUCACAGCAUGGUUAAACACUGGAGCAGGUUGCUUGGAGUGACUGUAAUCUCCAUACUUGGAGAUACUCAGAAUUCAGCUGUGUAAGUCCAUAAGCAUGCUGAUCUAGCCUGGAUGUUGGCCCUAUGCUCAGCAGAGGUUGGACCAUUGACCUCCCUGAAAGUCCCUCCAAAUUAAGCUACUUCGUGAUUGUAUGAUCCUAAAUGAUCUAUGUGCAACUUGCAUUGAGACAGGCAACCACAGUUACCAGGUGAAUGGAAUGGAGACUGAAGAUCAUUUGCCUACAUGCAAGACUGCUCCAAGUGAUCACAGCAGAAUUUUCAAGUUUGUCAUGUCCAUUUUGUAGUUGUGCUGGUGGCACUGAAUUCCCCAGAAAAUCAUUUGCUUGGCUUUGCCAAACUGUGGUCCUUGUGUGUGGAGGUGAUGACACGAGAAGGCUACGUGGAACUGGGAUUCCACCAAGCAGAAAGUUCCCCGAACAUGAAGUAUUUAGUAACCUGUGGUUGAUUAGUGAGACAGUCAACAGAUACCUUGAAAAAUCAUUUUCUGUAGAGAGACAAACACUGCCUGUUUUUGGUCCAAAAAAAUGGAGCAAAUAAAAGUUAUCAUCAGACCAAAUGAGCAUUUGCUUCACAAAACUUUGCAGCAGCAUGUUAGCUAACAAUAGAAGAGGAGAGGUUCUGGGAAAGAGGAAGAGUUACUAAUGGACUUAACCAAGGUGGCUGCAAAUUCUUGUUGAAGCUGUGAAGAAAACUGUUGUUCAGAACCACAGCUGCAUAGCUAUGUAUGUCUGUCCAGGAGAUAUCAAGCUGUACACCCUGCCCCAGCUGCAAAGGAUGGCAAAGGAUGCUAGGUAUGUAAACGCUUCCAGUAAGGGUUGUUGCUUGGCAGAUAUGCUCAGUGGACUACCUCCCAUCAUUAUCAUUAUCCUCCUUGGAUCCCCUGCCUGUCAGUUCACAUGGGCAUUGUCAGCCAUUGCCAGUUCCUUCUCCACCUUCAGCCACUGACUGGAGAUUCAAUUUUCAUCUCUACCUUCCUUUGCUGCUUUUUUCCAGCUGUCCCAGGAAUGAUAAGCACUGCCCUGGAUCCCAGGAGCUUUCACUUUUCAAAACUUCAUACCUGCUGCAUUGAUGCAGCUUGUUUCCCUUUCAGGGUGACAGCUCUGGAGAUUUGUAAUGGGUGAGGAGUUUAUGCUGAGGAGGUGAAAUAGAGGCCACGAGGCUGCAUAAAAAGACAUAACAGGUUACAUACGUUGACAAGAACUCUGCUAGAAUUGUUUCACUGGGGUCUACUAUGGAGGGAGACUUUCUAGGUUAAAGUCUCAAAGAUAGAUAAAUUCUUACUUAUCAUACAAAGCCUUUAUCUGGGCUAUUCCUUGGUCAUUUGCCAUGACAAGACGUGCUCCUCUCUUUUACUAU